UGGAUUUGCUCGUCCGCCCGCGUAUUGCGGCCGUGCUGCUGACUGUGGGCACCAUGCUGGGAUGGCCCGCUGAUCUGUCGUCUUGGGUGUGGCUUGCUUGGUGCCAUGCUGCUGUGCCCGACGCGCGGCCGGGGCACGGUGGACGUGCGUGCCUCACUCCGUGGGCCCGCUGCCGCGUCGCGUGCGUCUGCCAUGCCCAGGCUGCUGAGUGCCCUUCUUCCUUGUCUCCGCCCCGCUGCACCCUCUCCUCGUGGCUCUCCUAGCUUCCUUCGACUGUCCUCUGCUGCGGUCUGUUGCGGUGGCCUCCUUUGCUCUAUGGGCGCCGUUGGUUGAGGUUCGUGCUGCUGUUCUUCUUGUGUUUUCCCCACACCUCUCUUCUUGCUUCGCUCUACUGAUUUCACGUAGUUGGGCAUCUUUCGACUUGCCGUUGUCGCCUGCGUCGAGCCGUGGGUCUUUCUGUCCUUCGCGUUCUGGUUGUUUUCCUCGUUUGUCCUGAUGUUUGGGUCGCGUGCUCCUCCUUCCUAGCUUUGGUUGUACGAUCUCGCCCGUUGCUGCUUGCCAUUUGGUUAUGUGGUACAGUGUGAAUCCUGUGGCUGCCCAGAUCUGAACUGUGCGUAGGGGCCGGCGUUCUCGGCCAGAUUUGGGCGUUCUUGCUGACUUUCUGUCUAACCUCUCCACAAGUAUACUAGCCCAUUUCUGUUUAUUUGAUUUUCCUUUCCAGGUACAUGCUUUAGUUUAUCCUGGUUUGCAUACCUUUUUAUGUUACCUUGGUAGUCGAUGCAGAAUCACAAAUGCAAAAUGAGAUGCGCAAAUGUGAGGAUAGACCUAUGGUUCGCGUUCACAACUUGUUCUUGUUAAAAGAACUACUCUACAAGUUUGUUGCAAGUUACAGUAAUUGUGAGGAUAUGAUACCUUAUAGAAAUGAUGCCUUAGUGUUUCUUGCUUGCAUCUGCAUUGUUGCAUGCCGUGAUUGUGUUCUGACCAGUUCAUUUCUGUAUUUUACAGGUUGUAUGAUCUUGUGCGUUGCUGCAUCUCCGUUCUGUUUGUUGCUUCAUCGCCGUUACAAUUUUUGAGAUAUCUAAGCUGACGUCUUGAAUAGUUCAUAACAGUCAGUCGGAACUGCAGGAGUCAUCUUCACCUUAAUCUAAAAUAAGAAGGUUUUCCUUUUGCUAGAUCUCUGAAAAAUCUGCAGUGGAGUAAGCGCUGGCAUUACCUAUUGCUCUGGUUUUUUAAGUUAAUUGCAGCUGGCAAAUCUUGCACUGAUGUUUUGAGUUCCAUCGUUCGCUGUGUGGAAGCUACUGAAUUCUAUAGUAGUGGAACACUUGUUCUGGUCUGGUCAUCUUGUAAUUUUCCUUUUUGCAGCUUAACUAUUGUAGGUAGACAGACUCUAUACAUACUGAAGAAAUGUGCCCGUCCGACAGUCCUUCAUGCUCAGUUGUACACUUGUAGUGAUAGCUUUGGGUACUGUGUGCACCCUUUCAUGUAAUUGUGUUACCCCGGAGAAAUUUAUAACUAUGAUCUCACAUACUUCAACUCAGAUCUCGGGAAGUACGAGUGCACUACAUUGUGGAAUGAAGGGAGCAUCUUAUACUGAGUUUAUGAGGAAACAACUGGACUAAUCUUAAUAAUCCGGUGCUGAGAAUAAAAAAAGGUGGAAGCACAUUGAGUGGCUUUAGUUUUGUUAC